GGAGAGUUAGUUCUAAUUGGUAAGUCGGAAGAUUGCUAAUCUUCUGGUCGGUGUAAAUCGGCUUGUGGGUUCGAGUCCCACACUCUCCG
rnacentral:tRNA from 1 species